AUUGAACGCUGGCGGAAUGCUUUACACAUGCAAGUCGAACGGCAGCACGGGGGCAGCCCUGGUGGCGAGUGGCGAACGGGUGAGUAAUACAUCGGAACGUGCCCGGUCGUGGGGGAUAACGUAGCGAAAGUUACGCUAAUACCGCAUACGAUCUGAGGAUGAAAGCGGGGGACCUUCGGGCCUCGCGCGAUCGGCGCGGCCGAUGUCAGAUUAGGUAGUUGGUGGGGUAAAGGCCUACCAAGCCGACGAUCUGUAGCUGGUCUGAGAGGACGACCAGCCACACUGGGACUGGGACACGGCCCAGACUCCUACGGGAGGCAGCAGUGGGGAAUUUUGGACAAUGGGCGCAAGCCUGAUCCAGCCAUUCCGCGUGCAGGACGAAGGCCUUCGGGUUGUAAACUGCUUUUGUACGGAACGAAAAGGCUCUGGCUAAUACCUGGGGCUCAUGACGGUACCGUAAGAAUAAGCACCGGCUAACUACGUG
rnacentral:rRNA from 1 species